UAUUAAUACUGCGUCAUUAUGGCUCUUUCUAGAUUAGAAAAAGAUUUGUUUAUUCAGCAUAUUGCAAAGUUUAUAUAAAUAUCCAAUAUUUUGACACUGAGCAUAAAGGCUGUCACCACAUGUUCUCUUUCUGGUCACGUAAGGGCCAUUCCAUUUAAUGUCCACACCCCCCCUACGGAUGAGUUUUUCUGAAGGGUGACUCAAAAAGUCGUUUCUGAGGGGUUAAGCCUGUCGGCAUCCUUUGAUCUCUGCGAUUUUUCUGAGGGGUAAGGGGGAAAUUUACAAAUUUCCGAGGGGUGUUUUGUGUCGGCACUUUGAUCUUUUUUUCUUAGGGGUUAAAAUUUUACUGACCUCAUCCGUAGGGGGGGGGGGGGUGGAUAUUAAAUGGAAUGGCCCUAAUCAGAAAACCUCCAUAUAUAGUAAACUUUACAUUGGCGUCAAUGGCGUGUGCACGAAGUUACCCAAAUACAAGCUUAUAUGUUCUGCGAGUGUC